GCGGACGUGCUGAAAUUGGCAGACAGGCUGGCUUGAGGGGCCAGUGGGCGUUAGCCCGUGGAGGUUCAAGUCCUCUCGUCCGCA
rnacentral:tRNA from 1 species